GUUCAGGUAGCUCAGCUGGUUAGAGCAAAGGAUUGAAAAUCCUUGUGUCGGUGGUUCGAAUCCACUUCUAAACA